rnacentral:rRNA from 1 species
GACGAACGCUGGCGGCGUGCUUAACACAUGCAAGUCGAACGGGCCUUGUCCCCUUUUUUUUUGGGGGUGGGGUUAGUGGCGAACGGGGGAGAAACACGGGGGUAACCUGCCCCUCACUUCGGGAUAACCGCUUGAAAGGGUGGCAAAUACGGGGUGUUCGGGCCUGCUCGCAUGGGGGGGUUUGGAAAGCUUCGACCGGUUUUGGUUGUUUUGGGGGGGGAUGGGCUCGCGGCCUAUCAGCCUGUUGGUGGGGUGUGGGCAUGCAAAGGCUUUGACGGGUAGCGGGCGUGAGGGGGUGGGCGGACACUGUGAGACUGAGACACGGCACAGACUCAUACGGGGGGCAGCAGUGGGAAAUAUUGCACAAUGGGCGCAAGCCUGAUGCAGCGACGCCGCGUGAGGGAUGGAGGCCUUCGGGUUGUGAUCCUCUUUCGCCAGUGAAGAAGAUCCUGCUCUUUGUGGUGGGGUUGACGGUAGCUGGGUUAAUGAAGCGCCGGCUAACUACGUG